rnacentral:rRNA from 1 species
GACGAACGCUGGCGGCGUGCUUAACACAUGCAAGUCGAACGGAAAGGCCCUGCUUUUGUUGGGUGCUCGAGUGGCGAACGGGUGAGUAACACGUGAGUAACCUGCCCUUGACUUUGGGAUAACUUCAGGAAACUGGGGCUAAUACCGGAUAGGAGCUCCUGCUGCAUGGUGGGGGUUGGAAAGUUUCGGCGGUUGGGGCUGGACUCGCGGCUUAUCAGCUUGUUGGUGGGGUAGUGGCUUACCAAGGCUUUGACGGGUAGCCGGCCUGAGAGGGUGACCGGCCACAUUGGGACUGAGAUACGGCCCAGACUCCUACGGGAGGCAGCAGUGGGGAAUAUUGCACAAUGGGCGGAAGCCUGAUGCAGCAACGCCGCGUGCGGGAUGACGGCCUUCUGGUUGUAAACCGCUUUCGCCUGUGACGAAGCGUGAGUGACGGUAAUGGGUAAAGAAGCACCGGCUAACUACGUG